GACUCCUCGAAAGAUAUUCAUAUCAAACUCCUGGCAGCUAUGAAUGUGACUUUAUUUGGAAAAAGGGUCUUUGCAGGUGUAAUUAAAUGAAGGAUGUUGAGAUAAGGUGAUUAUUUGGGAUUGCUCAGGUUGGCCCUAAUUCGAAUGAUGAAUGUCUUUAUGAGAGAACGGCAGAGGGAGAUUUGAGACAGAUAGGAGUGAAAACACAGAGAGGAGGAGGAGGCAACGUGACCAUGGAAUAAGACAUUGGAGUGAAGUAGCCACAAGCCAAGGAAUGCCUAAAGCCACCAAAAGCUGGAAGACGCAGGAAAGGAGCCUCCUGGAGAGAUUUCUGAGGGAGCACAGCCCCACCGAUGCCAUGAUUUCAGCCUUCUGGUUCCCAGAAUUGUGAAAGAGUAAAUUUCUGUUGUUUCAAGUGGCCAAGUUGGUGGUAAUUUGCUACUGAAACCCCAGGAAGCUUUGUGCCUGGAUACUAGCAGGAAGGAAGAGGAGGAGCAAGAAUGGAAGGCUUGUACCAACAAGUUCUUAUCCUUUUUAAUGAGGAAAACAAGAGCAUCCCUAUUCUGCUCUUAUCUCACCGAGUUCCAUGGCCAUUCUGAGCUGCAGUGGAGUCUUGGGAGGACAUUUGGCUGGAUUCAAAGAACUUUGAAGCCCAAGGGGAU
rnacentral:lncRNA from 10 species